UUGGCACCAUCGAGCUGCGGAAGUUGACUUUCUACACAGGUUGUAAUUUUUCAGUUUCGUCCUAAGAACAUAUUUUAGUGGUAAAAUAAAAAGGGAUACAUUUUUGGUGCCAUUUAGGCGAAAUUGAAAUCUAAGCGUCACUAGUCAAAACAGGCUCUGCUAUGGGCUCACGCUAGUGUUCCAGCUUAGCCAACAUUCUUUUGCCAUUUUCAGCCUUGGGUGUAUGUUGACUCGUUUUUUUUGUCCAGCCUACGCUGUAGAGCCCCAUACGACCUGUAUCCACCUCCUAAAGAGAGUCUUUGCGGCUCUGGCUCAAAGCGUUGAACCUAAAGAAACCAUCAAAAUGUCAAUUUGUGUGCUCCUACCGCUUCUUUGACAAGAAGCCUACAGUGGAGCAUCCUUACCCAGAAAAAUGACUGGCUAUGAUGCGCCACUCGUGAAGAAGCGUUGGUCAGGCAGUCAUCAUCAGUGACAGGUGACACAACAGGCUCAAGUGUACACCAAAUUGAAAUGGGGAUUGGCCUUUACAGAUAGAAGGAAUGGAUAUGCCUUCAGAGAAGGCUGCCCAAACCCAAUGGGAAGACCCAUCUCUAAGUGAUCACAACUACAGCUCAGGUGAUCAUGUAAAUCCCACUACCUGUGAGGCAGAGACACAGUGCCCAGCAGCACCUCUCUACAAAACCCUGCUGAGGAACGAAGCACUCUGUUGACAAUUCCAGCCUUCACAAAAAGAGACGCACACCUGUCAGAGGAGGACACCACAUGUACAAGACGGAUAGCUAAUGUGAGGGUUCAUGUGAAACGCUUAAUUCAAAGACUCAAACGGUUUAGAAUCAUCUCACAGAUGGUGCCAAUCAACCUCUUAUCUAAAAUGGACAAAAUACUUUGAAUCUGUGCUGCCCUGUGUAACCUGCGUGGUGAUAUCAUUCAUGAAGAUGCUAAAUGAACUGACCAGUCAAAUGCCAUUCACAGGGUCGAUUUCCCAAUAUGAAUUAAAGUUGUCAAAAGUUACGUUAAAUACAUUUCAAUUAAUUCUAUAACAACUUAAGUUAAUUUGUUUUACAUACUCAUUAAUAUUAAUAAAAAACAAUGAGUUAAUAGUAACUGCAAACAGGA